rnacentral:lncRNA from 1 species
UGUUGGGCCGUGAAUGUGUGAGUUGGGCUAUGCGUAUGUGUGGAUGUGUGUUUUGGGCCAUGCACAUGUUGUGUGUGUGUGGGUUGUGUGUGUGUGUGUCCAUGUGUGUGCGUGGUGUGUGUGUGUGUGUCCGUGCACGUGUGUGGUGUGUUGCGUGUGUGCGUGUGUAAGUGUACAUGUAUGAUGUGCAUACAUAUGUGUGUGUGCUGGUGUGUAUAGGUGUAUGGUAUGUGGGUUUAGGCUCAAGCCCAAACCACCAUCCUUUUUAUUCAUAUCCAAAACCUUUUACCUAAACCUAUUAGGCUUUAACCAUUCAACCCAAACCCUUUAUUUUAUUUAGUUCAAGCCGAAAUCCUUUAGAAAAUCCUUUUAUUUAUUUAUUACCUUUUUGUGCUUAGGUGAAGUUGCUAGUGAGGAAAUUAUUAAUCAUUUUCCGCACAAUUCUGCUGCUACGAAGUCUCUGUGAGUGGACCCUUUCUAAAUUUAUAUGAAUUUAUGGUUUAAUUGCAUAAAUGAAUAGCAUGCUUUACGAGUUUAUGAUUUAAUUUUAUGUUUAGCAUGUUUAUUGAAUAUGUUGAUUUUUCGUCUCGUGUUUUUGGUGAGGAAUUAAUUAUCGGCCUAUAUUGAGUUAUAUUUUAAUAUAUCGUAUUUUCUAUAAAAACCAUGAACUGGUAGAUUAUCUGAUGGAUGACGAUAGGAUGCUAGAACAUGUUUUAGAAACCCCUUUUUAUUGUAUAGACGAUGGAUGACUUUAUACUAUGAAGUGGUUAUUUAUGAGAGGCGUAACUAUUUGUGCAUACCUAGUGGACACUAUG